UGGCCGCUGGGGAGUUGGGAGAGCCAGGCUGGGGCUCCGGCAGGCCCAGGCAAAUUUCCCUUUCUAGGCUCUUUAUUAAAAAAUUUAAAAGGAGGAGUUGAGGCGCCUUGAAUUUUCCUUCGCGAGUUUGGAGGCUAGCCGAUUUUUCAUGAAGCAAGCAAAGACCGCGGUCCCGGAUCCUGCAACAUCUACCUCAUUCUCUCCAGGCCUCUCCACUUGCCCGAGCUCUCAGCCACCAGGAGACAGACAGAAGGGGCUUCUGGGCUGCGUUGGGAGCGGGCACUGUCCCCUACCCACUCCUGCUCGGUUUCCCAAAGUCCAGCGACCUCCGACCCUCCUUGGGGGGAAAAAUACCAGUACCCAGACACCUCCGCACCCUGUUAUAUGACUGGGCUUGCUUCAGGAAUAUCUUACAAAGAAGAAGAAGAAGAAGAAAGAACGGCUUGGAGUCAUGUUUACAUCUAGUUCUACUGAUCCGUUCACAUCUGGAGAGUUUAUUUAUAACUCCCUCUAUAACUCUCUGUUUGGAGGCACUGGUGGCUCUAUUGACAGACUGAUGUCUAGGAAAUAUUGCUCUAUGUCUAACCGUACCUAAAUGUGCUGUGGUUGUAUUUACAGAUUUAUGUUUGAGGGAAAUAUAAUUAUUUCCAUUGUAUUUGUGCAUAUACAGUAGUUAUAGGAGCAGAUUUAUAUAUGGGAAAAUAUAUGACUCUCUUACAGCC
rnacentral:lncRNA from 1 species